GAUCCUGGCUCAGAUUGAACGCUGGCGGCAUGCCUUACACAUGCAAGUCGAACGGUAACAGGUCUUCGGAUGCUGACGAGUGGCGAACGGGUGAGUAAUACAUCGGAACGUGCCCGAUCGUGGGGGAUAACGAAGCGAAAGCUUUGCUAAUACCGCAUAAGAUCUACGGAUGAAAGCAGGGGACCACAAGGCCUUGCGCGAACGGAGCGGCCGAUGGCAGAUUAGGUAGUUGGUGGGA
rnacentral:rRNA from 1 species